rnacentral:rRNA from 1 species
ACAUAGCUUUAGGAAAAUAAAUCUAAAGUUAAACCUGCCCAGUGUAGAAAUUUAAUAAUUAUAAAUGGCCGCGGUACUUUGACCGUGCUAAGGUAGCGCAAUUAAUUGGCUUUUAAAUGGAGUCAGGUAUGAAUGGGAUCACGGAGUUUAGCUGUCUCUAAAUUAAUUUAUUGAAAUUACUGUGUAGGUGAAAAAGCCUAUAGAAAGAAAAAGGACGAGAAGACCCUUAGAGUUUUAUUUAAAGUAAAAUAAUUUUUUAUAAUAAUUUAGUUGGGGCAACAUAGGAACAAUAACAGUAUUAUAACUUCCUUAAUAUAUUUAUUUACCGAUUUUUAUAAAAUUGAAUAAACUACCUUAGGGAUAACAGCAUAAUUUAGUGUAUAAGUUUGUGACCUCGAUGUUGGACUAGGAAAUUGAAAGGUUAGCCGCUUUUUAAGAAGGUUCUGUUCGAACUAGAUAUCCUACGU